UAAACCAAAGUCUGGUCCAUAAAACAAAUCUUGACCAAUUUUACAGUAUUCAGUUGAUACAAAAUACACUCUCUAAUUACAACAGUGUUAAAAGGAAAAUUAGAAAGUAUUCUGAUUUUGAAGAUACUGACAAGAGAGUCUAUCAAAAUGUGUGAGGUGAACCUAAAAUAAAACUAGUAGGCCAUCCUCCACUGCCUUCCCGAGCCACAGCAGAGAGCUGGACUGGAAGAGGAACUACCGGGACUAGAACUCGGUUCCCACAUGGGAUGCCGGUGCUGCACGCGGAAGAUUAACCAAGUGAGCCAUGGUGCCAGCCCCAGGACUAUCUUAAUAUUAAAAGCAAAGACACUGGGGCCGGCACUGUUGCAUAGCAGGUAAAG